rnacentral:rRNA from 1 species
GACGUAGGGCGCGAGCGUUGUCCGGAAUUAUUGGGCGUAAAGAGCUCGUAGGCGGUUUGUCGCGUCUGCUGUGAAAACGCGAGGCUCAACCUCGCGCCUGCAGUGGGUACGGGCAGACUAGAGUGUGGUAGGGGAGAUUGGAAUUCCCGGUGUAGCGGUGAAAUGUGUAGAGAUCGGGAGGAACACCGGUGGCGAAGGCGGGUCUCUGGGCAUCUCCUGACGCGUGAGGCGCGAAAGCGUGGGGAGCAAACGGG